rnacentral:ncRNA from 1 species
UUCUUCGGGGUUGGGUGAAAUUCCCUACUGGCGGUAAAGUCCGCGACCUGUAAAAACGGUUUGUUUUUAUGGCUGACCCGGUGUGACUCCGGGACCAACAGUAAAGUCUGGAUGAAAGAAGAA